AUACUUACCUGGCAGGGGAGCAAUAGCUAUGAUCCUUAAGGUGGCUCUCCUCCCAGAGUGAGGCCGUUCAUUGCACUCCGUACCAGCUGACUCUCAUGUAUUUCUCAAAUGUGGGAAACUCACUGCAUAAUUUAUGGUAGUGGGGGAUCAAGUGCCUUCAUGCUUUUCCCCU